CGCACAUUGCGCCCGCCAGUAUUCUGGCGGGCAUGCCUGUUCGAGCGUCAUUUCAACCCUCGGAUCCCCGGCUUGCUGGGGAACCGGUGUUGGGGCUCGGGGGACCCAGCGUCCUCCCGUCCCCUAAAUACAGUGGCGGUCACGCUGCAGCUUCCUCUGCGUAGUAAUGCACCUCGCAGCCUGGAGAGCGGCGCGGCCACGCCGUAAAACCCCCUACUUCUUAAGGUUGACCUCGGAUCAGGUAGGAAUACCCGCUGAACUUAA
rnacentral:misc_RNA from 1 species